rnacentral:rRNA from 1 species
AAACGAUUGAAGUCAGUCGUGUGGAGGGUAUUCAGCCGUCUCUGGCGGUGUACUUGCCCUUCACGGGUCAACAUCAGUUUGAUCCGGUGGAAAAAGGCUGGGGGAAGGUGGCACCCUCGGGUGUGUUAUAGCCCCCUGUCACAUACACCGGACCAGACUGAGGAACGCAGCUCGCAGCAAUGCCGGGGUUCGCCCACGUACGAGCUUAGGAUGUUGACAUAAUGGCUUUAAACGA